rnacentral:rRNA from 1 species
AGAAGGUCCCAAGGGUUUGGCUGUUCGCCAAUUAAAGCGGUACGUGAGCUGGGUUCAAAACGUCGUGAGACAGUUUGGUCCAUAUCCACUGCGGGCGCAGGAAAUUUGAGGAGAGCAUUCCCUAGUACGAGAGGACUUGGAAUGACGUACCUAUGGUGUGCCAGUUGUUCCGCCUAGGAGCAUUGCUGGGUAGCUAUGUACGGAAAGGAUAAGCGCUGAAAGCAUCUAAGUGCCAAGCCCCCUCCAAGAUAAGAUUUCCCUUCCCAGGUUCGCCUGGGACUGAAGGCAGGUUGAAGAUUACAACCUUGAUAGGCUGGGUGUGUAAGUCCGGAGACGGACUGAGCUUACCAGUACUAAUCAGCCGUGCGUCUUGACCAUUCCUUUUC